rnacentral:rRNA from 1 species
UGUGCAAAGGUAGCAUAAUCAUUUGGCUUAUAAUUGAAGUCUGGUAUGAAUGAAUAUAUGGGUACCGACUGUCUCCACUAUAUUGUGUGAAUUUACUAAUUGGGUGCAAAUUCCCAUUUCAAGAUAACAGACGAGAAGACCCUAGAAAUUUUAAAAUUCACUUUUUGCUGGGGCGGCAGAAUAACAUAUAACUUAUUUUAUUAUAUUAUCUAAUGUAUUAUGGAAAAGUAAUUACUCUAGGGAUAACAGCAUAAUUUAUUUAGUUUGUGACCUCGAUGUUGGACUAAGGUUAUUAUUAUUCAGAAGAUAAUAAUUGAUGCUCUGUUCGAGCAAAAUUUCCUUACAUGAUCUGAGUUCAAAUCG